GACGAACGCUGGCGGCGUGCUUAACACAUGCAAGUCGAACGAAGUGGCGAACGGGUGAGUCACGCGUAAUCAACCUGCCCUUCCGAGGGGGACAACAGUUGGAAACGACUGCUAAUACCGCAUACUGAAGGAGGGGAAGGAGUCUGAUUAGCUAGUUGGAGGGGUAACGGCCCACCAAGGCGAUGAGCAGUAGCCGGUCUGAGGUGCUGAACGGCCACAUCGGGACUGAGACACGGCCCAGACGCCUACGGGAGGCAGCAGGUGGGAAUCGUCCGCAAUGGACGAAAGUCUGACGGAGCAACGCCGCGUGAGGGAUGACGGCCGUCGGGUUGUAAAGCUCUGUUAAUCGGGACGCGGUACCGGAAUAGAAAGCCACGGCUAACUACGUGCCAGCAGCCGCGGUAAUUC
rnacentral:rRNA from 1 species